UACGGAGGGGGCUAGCGUUGUUCGGAAUUACUGGGCGUAAAGCGCACGUAGGCGGCUUUGCAAGUUAGAGGUGAAAGCCCGGAGCUUAACUCCGGAAUUGCCUUUAAAACUGCAUCGCUAGAAUUGUGGAGAGGUGAGUGGAAUUCCGAGUGUAGAGGUGAAAUUCGUAGAUAUUCGGAAGAACACCAGUGGCGAAGGCGACUCACUGGACCGGUACUGACGCUGAUGCGCGAAAGCGUGGGGAGCAAACGGG
rnacentral:rRNA from 1 species